GAUCAUGGCUCAGGACGAACGCUGGCGGCGUGCCUAACACAUGCAAGUCGAAAGGAAGCAAAGAUUUCGGUUUUUGCUUUGGUGGCGAACGGGUGAGUAACGCGUGAGGAACCUGCCUUUCAGUGGGGGGACAACAGUUGGAACGACUGCUAAUACCGCGAUAAUGCUUUUGAUGGCAUCAUUGAAAAGCCAAAGAUUUAUUGCUGAAAGAUGGCCUCGCGUACUGAUUAGCUAGUUGGUGGGGUAACCGG
rnacentral:rRNA from 1 species